rnacentral:rRNA from 1 species
GACGAACGCUGGCGGCGUGCUUAACACAUGCAAGUCGAACGGAAAGGCCCUGCUUUUGUGGGGUGCUCGAGUGGCGAACGGGUGAGUAACACGUGAGUAACCUGCCCUUGACUUUGGGAUAACUUCAGGAAACUGGGGCUAAUACCGGAUAGGAGCUCCUGCUGCAUGGUGGGGGUUGGAAAGUUUCGGCGGUUGGGGAUGGACUCGCGGCUUAUCAGCUUGUUGGUGGGGUAGUGGCUUACCAAGGCUUUGACGGGUAGCCGGCCUGAGAGGGUGACCGGCCACCUUGGGACUGAGGUACGGACCAGACUCCUACGGGAGGCAGAAGUGGGGAAUAUUGCACAAUGGGGCGAAGUCUGAUGCAACGACGCCGGGUGCGGGAUGACGGCCUUCGGGUUGUAAACCGCUUUCGCCUGUGACGAAGCGUGAGUGACGGUAAUGGGUAAAGAAGCACCGGCUAACUACGUG